GGGUAAGCUCGGGUGAAACUCGGGUGAAACCGGGGCAAAAUGCGGUUCUGAUCCCGUUAUGUUCUAAUGAUAGUAUGUCAAAAAAGGCAGAAAAAACAGCAUAUUUCCUCGCAGGCCUUGCGUUGACAUCGCAGGGGUCACAAGUUCAAUCCUUGUCGUGCCCACCA
rnacentral:tRNA from 1 species